rnacentral:rRNA from 1 species
UAGUCCACGCCGUAAACGAUGGAUACUAGCUGUCAGGACUUCGGUCUUGGCGGCCAAGCGAAAGUGAUAAGUAUCCCACCUGGGGAGUACGUUCGCAAGAAUGAAACUCAAAGGAAUUGACGGGGGCCCGCACAAGCGGUGGAGCAUGUGGUUUAAUUCGAUGAUACGCGAGGAACCUUACCAGGGCUUAAAUGUACAUUGCAUAGCGUAGAGAUAUGCUUUUCUUCGGACUAUGUACAAGGUGCUGCAUGGUUGUCGUCAGCUCGUGCCGUGAGGUGUCAGGUUAAGUCCUAUAACGAGCGCAACCCCUACCGUUAGUUGCCAGCAUGUAAUGAUGGGGACUCUAACGGGACUGCCGGUGACAAACCGGAGGAAGGUGGGGAUGACGUCAAGUCCUCAUGGGCCCUUAUAUCCAGGGGCUACACACGUACUACAAUGGUCGAAACAAAGUG